rnacentral:rRNA from 1 species
CUCGUAGGUGGUUUGUCACGUUGUCCGUGAAAACUCACAGCUUAACUGUGGGCGUGCGGGCGAUACGGGCAGACUAGAGUACUGUAGGGGAGACUGGAAUUCCUGGUGUAGCGGUGGAAUGCGCAGAUAUCAGGAGGAACACCGGUGGCGAAGGCGGGUCUCUGGGCAGUAACUGACGCUGAGGAGCGAAAGCGUGGGGAGCGAACA